GACAGCAGUCGCCGCGGUAAUACAGAGGGUGCGAGCGUUAAUCGGAUUUACUGGGCGUAAAGCGUGCGUAGGCGGCUUCUUAAGUCGGAUGUGAAAUCCCUGAGCUUAACUUAGGAAUUGCAUUCGAUACUGGGAAGCUAGAGUAUGGGAGAGGAUGGUAGAAUUCCAGGUGUAGCGGUGAAAUGCGUAGAGAUCUGGAGGAAUACCGAUGGCGAAGGCAGCCAUCUGGCCUAAUACUGACGCUGAGGUACGAAAGCAUGGGGAGCAAACAGGAUUAGAUACCCCUGUAGUCCCUGUCUCUUAUAC
rnacentral:rRNA from 1 species